GCGUGUGCGUGCGUGCGUGUGCGUGUGUGCUGCAGGAGAUCUAAGCGGUUUGUGUGCUAACAGCUCUCUGAAGGCUGUAUAGGAUCAGAGUGUGAAACAACAGCAGCCAUUAAAGCCCAACAACGUGGGGGGGGCGGCCCCACCCACGGUGAGAGUCUGUCCUCCUCCUCGUGUCUUCUAGGAGUCGCAUUCAUUCACAUGCAUGUCAGAUCAGCAUCUGGUUCUCCUUCUCACAGCAGUAACGACAAUUAUGAAGACAGACAUCUGGGAAAUGAGCAGUUUUAUCUCAGUGUCCUCAUGUCUCUCUGAGAGAAGGGACGUGUGAGACCGAGGACAGUGUCUGUCCUCUUCACGGUGAGAGGGAGCAGAAUCAUCACUUAGCACAUGAAGGACGAACAACGAUUCUUAUUAUACAGUCAAAUGUCAUUUAAAGUUACACCAUGUAGCUCCAAAUAAAUCCAUUUACACACUGAACAUCUGAAUACUCGUCGCAUCCAAACUGCAGCUUCAUCUCCACGCCAACAGCUGGGUGUGAAAUAAUGAAAGAGCAGACUUCAGCAACACAAAGAGCAGCUUGAAGAAGUCUGGUCCUCAGCACUCUGAUGCAGGACUCUUCAAAGCAACGGGACACAAAGAGGACGGAGAGGAAAUAACCACCUGAUCAAAGGGUGAAGAGACCUGGAGAGGAGCCGCUACCCAGCAACUGUACAUUCCUCAGAUGGUCUUUUCUCUGAACAUCUGCUUCUGUCCAGAUGUUCUCUUGGUCACUUAAUGUCCUCAUGAUGGAGGUUUGACUCCACAUGGACCAUAAUCUACUAAAUGAACAUCAUGCUGUAUUGGAGAAGACUUGAAACCAUAAACUCAUGUUUACAAUGUUUACUGAGGGAAUAAAUCAAGAGAGAAGUAGUGAUUUUCUCGAGUCGCCCCCUGCUGGAUAUUUUUGCCACUGAUUCCAGUGAAGAGUGAAUUACAGUAGUCUUGAGGAGAUAAAAGCAUUGGACAAGCUUCUCUGCAUCUGACAGGGUCAAAGUGGGCAGAGUUUGGAGAUGUCUUUGAGAGGAUACAAGGUUUUGCACCGGUAUUUGAUUUGGUCAUUAAAGACAGGUGAGGGCCAAACCCAACUCCCAGAUAGGUAACUGGAGGAGAGGGGUAUGACCGGACCGUCAAAGGUGAUGAAGGAUGACUGAACCUGGUGUGGAGUGCCAACCAGAAGGCUUCGGUUUUGGAACCGUUUUAGUUGGAGAAAGUUGUUGCUCAUCAAUGCCUUUAUGUCCUUUAAGACAAGCGGUGAGACAUGACAAGGCUGCAGACGGGCUUGGGGCAGUCAUGAUGUAGAGCUGUGUAUCGUCCGCAUAACAGUGAAAGGACAUUCCAUGUUUGCUGAUGACACGGCCGAUGGGGAGCAUGUAGGUUACUUCCCAGUUCUGCCAGAAAGGUUGGACAGAAACCACUCGAGUGCACAGUCUGAUGGUCCAAUGGUGGUGUGGAGGCGCUCGAGCAGGAUAGUGUGAUCCACUGUAUCAAAUGCAGCAGUCAGGUCCAGGAGGAUGAGAAGUGAGGGUGAUCCAGCAUCCAGUCAUCAGCAGGUCAUUCGUCACGCUGAGCAAAAGCGGUUUCCGUGCUGUGAGCUGAACGGAAUCCUGACUGAAAGUUGUUGUUCUUGAGGUGGUCCAGAAGUUGAGAAGCAACUACCUUCUCUUGCACCUUGGGCAGGAAGACAAGGUUGGAGAUCGUGGGACAUGGCGCAAGGGUAGAGAGGGUGCGCUGGAAACCACAAGGCUGGUGGUUGGAGUACCGGCUGCCGCAUGUCGAAGUGUCCCUGAGCAAGACACCUAACCCCUAAUUGCUCCCCGGGCAAUAAUGUAAAAAGCCACGGGUUAAAAAUGUAAUUUAAGUCGCUAAGCGUCAGCUAAAUGACCUGUAAUGUAACGUAGUUGGCUAGAACCUCGGGGUCUCUGUAGCGUCAGUUGAAAAGGAGGGUUGUGGGCCCCAGGAGAUGGUUUAUAGUGGAAAAAAGCUGUCUAGAGUUGCCAGGGUUUUGUUGAUUGGCUGGAAUAGAGGUGUGAGCGAGCCCCUUUAAGAGCGUUGGAGUGGAACCUCCGAUGCUCUCGGAAAGCCAGUUUAUGGACAAUGAGCCCUGAGUGUCUGCAGCGUCGUUCCAGGACACGCCCAGCUGUUUUUAUUUUCCAGAGGUGUGAACCAGGGAGCGAGAAAUUGAAAUUGACCUCACGUGACUUGACGUGGCCAUGGAGAUCUAAAACACUGCUCAGGGAUAUUGUAUCAGUUCCACUAAUUCAUCCAUUGCUGCAGAGACAGGUGAUGACCUGGAGGUCCAUGGUCAUAGCCACUGAGUCAAUGCUUGUCCAGUUCCAGAAUGACAUUUGAUUUGAGGUCUAACAGUAGGCAGCGUGAAAGUCAAGGCCAUUGAGACCACCUCAUGGUCGGACACACCAAGAUCAUAAACCUGUAGGUUACCUUCUGCUUCAUUUGGGUUUUGAAGUCUUCAGCAGCCGUUUUCAUUUCACUCAUUACUGACCAUAAUCUCUCAGAGUUAAUGCAACACACUGAUGACAUAAAAACAAGAAGACGCAGCAACGUCAUCCAGGUAGAGACAUCAAUUAUUAUUCCAUCCUCGUUCCGGUGCACCUUUUUUGUCAUAUUGCACACAUAAGAUAAACCAGUUAGUGAGUCCAAAAACACAUUGUGAGUCUUUCAUGCUCCAGAGAAACCAGGAACAGCAGGAUGCUCUAUAACAGGCGUCAAAUCCCAGCCGGCCUCCCACCUGCAGCGGCUCUGCUUGGGAUCAGGAGGAGGAGGAGGAGGAGGAGGGUCAGGCUUCAUCCUGCUGCUGCUCAGAUUCAACCAAGACCUCAACACCUUUCUCACACAAAGCGGCAGCCAGCGAGCGCCCAGACGUUUACACGACAUGGAGAAGAUCCUGGAGUCCUGGAACACUUCUUCACACAAGGGGGUUGUUGUUCCCUGGAGUUGGAGCAUCAACAGGAGGCCGUUCAGGAGGACGCUGAACCUUCUGGCUACAGAGGCCAUUACAGGGAGAGGUCACAGUGUGUCUACGUGGCUAAUGGCCCUUUCUGCUUGGUCAAACACGUUAUUUAUCUCUUAUUGUGUGUGGCCACGGGCCGUGAAUAAAUCUGUAAUUACCCACACUGCCAUCAGGUCGGGUUAAUGGAGAAACCAUUAGCACGAAGGGGGAGGCAGAGAGGAGGAGGAGCAGGAGGAGAGCAUAAUCAGCAGAUAAUAGCUCCCAAUUCUGUUUAUUAUCAAUCGGUCUGACGCCUGGAGAUUAAAAACAGGAACAUAUGAAUUACAUGGAGUGAUAUUUUGUCAUGAAUAAAUGAGUUAAGAUGUUGCUGUUUUA